rnacentral:rRNA from 1 species
AGUGAACGCUGGCGGUAGGCCUAACACAUGCAAGUCGAACGGCAGCACAGUAAGAGCUUGCUCUUACGGGUGGCGAGUGGCGGACGGGUGAGGAAUACAUCGGAAUCUACUUUUUCGUGGGGGAUAACGUAGGGAAACUUACGCUAAUACCGCAUACGACCUACGGGUGAAAGCAGGGGAUCUUCGGACCUUGCGCGAUUGAAUGAGCCGAUGUCGGAUUAGCUAGUUGGCGGGGUAAAGGCCCACCAAGGCGACGAUCCGUAGCUGGUCUGAGAGGAUGAUCAGCCACACGGGAACUGAGACACGGUCCAGACUCCUACGGGAGGCAGCAGUGGGGAAUAUUGGACAAGGGGCGCAAGCCUGAUCCAGCCAUACCGCGUGGGUGAAGAAGGCCUUCGGGUUGUAAAGCCCUUUUGUUGGGAAAGAAAAGCAGCAGGUUAAUACCCCGCUGUUCUGACGGUACCCAAAGAAUAGCACCGGCUAACUUCGUG